rnacentral:lncRNA from 1 species
UUCAUCAUCACACACACUACACAAGACAAUUUUCUUUCUUCCUCCUCUUGGAUACUCAAUCAGACAAUCACUCCAACUUUCCCCUCAAUCUCCCUCUCUCACUCUUAGCCCUUCUCUGUCCCAAACUAACCCACAACAAAAAACUCACCAACUCCAACUCCCUCUCUCGGCCACCUCUCUCCCUUUUUCUCAAAACUCUCGCAUAAGAUACCACACACACACUCACAAAAACUCUCCCUCAACUCUCUCUCUUCUCACUUUCUCACAAAACGCUACAAUCACACACACAAGCUAAUAGAAAAAGAAGAUAAGGUAACGGAGGAAAGGAGGAAAAGUUUCUGCUAGAAAAUCUUACCAUUACUGAAGCUUUAUCCAAAAUCAUCGUAAGCUGCACCUCGUAUUUCAAUUUUGACUCCAAUGAGAUGAUUCCUAAAAGUUUGGCAAAAAGCAUGGUUAAUUGUUAUGUUGCUUUCAAAAGCUUGUUCGGACUUUCCUUACUUUUCUUUAGCUUUGAUGAUCAAUGUUUCAAUUUUGUGCUUUUUAGGAAAUGAAUUGGUUGUUGUUAUAUUGCUGAAAUGUUGGAAUUAAGUUAUAAGCAAGAUUGAAAAAAGAAAAAUACCUUUUGUGUUUGCCUUCCAAGUGUUUGAAAAAAUGUCAGAAUGAGAAAAUCGAAUUAAAUUGGGUUGUUUUUUGUUCAUUUAAGACCAUAGUUGC